CCCGUUUAAGGGCUGACUGCCACUAAGGAGGCUCUCUUCCUGAAGAUUGCUUCUCUUGGAGUUCCCCCCUCCCGUAAGCUUACAACUUGGCUAUAAAUGAGACAGUUAAUGAACUGGAAGCAUUCUUCUGGAAUUACUGUCAGCUGUGAAGAAUAUGGUAACACUUAUGGAACUGCUCCCAAUAGUGAUUUCAAGACCUGCUUCUGAGUGAACAGAAUGUAUCUUAUCCUGUAAGAAAAAUGGGAUAUAGCUUCUAUAUAUCAUACUAACAUUGUACUUCCUAGAAGGUACAUCUGUAUUGCCCUUGAGUCUAUCAGCUACUACAUAUUGGUAAGAUCAGAAUGUUGUUGAGUUUCUUUACUGAAAGAGACAGGUACGUUUUCAAGUCAAGCCCUAGGGUAUUACUUUGCGUUCAGUGCAAAAUAGACCUGUGUGAUCUGUAAUCAUUAUUUCUACUGUCCCUUGCCUUCUGUGUAACCUUUCCCCUCUGUGGCCAAGCAAUCUUCUUGUGAAAGACGUGAGGAGUUUCCAGUGUUGUAAUUGUAUGCAUAACCUUCAUGGAUAUUCUAUUAUAUGUCAGUCUCUGAUUUAGAUAUACCCCACCAAUAUUUUUUUCUCUUGUAAUCUCUGUUAAUAUUUGGUUUUCACCUACUAUGAGCUGGCAUUGCUGUUUUCCUGGCAUAAAUAUAUUUAUACUCUGUUGGAAUUCCUUAUUAAUAGCAUGCCUGUUUUUUUUUCAGUUUUUCACAUUUAAAACGCUGACUUUUAAACACGUUUUUGGAUGUUCAUCUACUUUACCUGUUUUUUCACACUUUCAAAAUGUUAUUUGUUUUUCUAUUUAUUUUCAGACAUGAGAACUGUUUGUUUGUUGAUUAGGUAUAUUGUUGCUUCUGUGGUAGACCAAACCUUUCUUAAAAUCACAGAUGUGAAUUUUGUUCAUGUUUAAAUAUAAACAGAACUUGAGGACUGCUUCAUAUGCUCUAGAAAUAUUUACUCGUCCCAGUAAACGAAUCUCACCAACAGUUUCUGGACUUCAGAGAAUUUAUUUCCAACAUUAUCCUGGCUGAAUUAAUUUUAUACUUACUACAAAUGCAGCUGUCAUUUUCUCACUUUAUCAUUAAACUCAGGUGUUCUGACAUCUCCAAUUUAAUUACAAAAAUGCAUGUCACGUGCACUCUUAUCUUUCUUGCUGACAAUAAUUUUUAUCUCUUUAGCUGGCAUAUUGUACUAAAUGUCUUUUCACUUUUUUUCCAAUAACAUUAGUCUGGUAACAAAAUCUAUCUCCAUAAGCUUGCGUUUCAUGAGUCAUUCUAUAUGCAAAAGAAGUAAUCUUGACUUUCGUGGAAGACAAGCUCCAAUCAUUCGUUCCUAACAACCAAGUUUUAGCAGAUUUGUGUUACUUCUGCAUUUUUAGGACUGUCGUACUUUAGUAUUUGUCUUUGGAUACUUUGAAGAUUUAGGUGCUGUGAUUGUUAGUUCUUCUUGUGAUUAUGAUCUCUUUUUUACUAGUCAAAAAAAACCUGUAGGAAUAUUUCCUUUCCUCUUGCUGUAUAUUUUCCAUUUGAACUAAAAUUAAGGAGUGCUGUCGAGGAAUAGCAGUAGAUCAAUGACUUAAAAGUUAAGGAAAGCUGGAUGAUAACUCCAUUGAAUAGUUCUGGGAGAAAUAUAACAGGGAAAAUCAUCUUAAAAAAGAAGUUUCCUAGUAAACACCUGCCAUUUCCUACAGCAGACCUGUCAGCAAACUACACCAUAGCUGGAAUAGAGAGUAGAGGGCAGGAAACUCUGGAAUUUACUUUUUUUCAGCCGCUUGGAUCUAAAGAAUAUCUGCUUGAAUUAAAUGUGAUGAAUCUACUCCUUCUGAAAAGAUGUUUCUCAAAAGAAACAUGCACAGGAAAAACACCUGAUUGUAUCUUGGUCAUGAAAUGAGUACUUUCUGGAUACAAAAGGAGUGGAGAAAUAGAAGAACACAUGGAAAGUAUGCAACAGAAAGGCUGAAUAUGCUUGUAAUAUGGUUUAGAGUGUGCUCAUUGGCAGCCAACCUUGACCACACUGUGAAACAGAGUGCAAUACAAUGUGAUCUCCGUUCCAUAACUGCAGGCAGAGAACAACAGAAAAAGGCACUUCUCAUAUGAAAUUCAGGGAGGUAUAAUGAAUACUAUUUAUAAGGGCAGAAUUACAAGAUUAUUGCAAUAUAUGCUGUUUGAACUCUGCAGCUUGAAGGUAGACAAAUCUAUAGAAUGCUUAAAAUUGGGCAAUGUGUGCUGGGGUAUGCUUGAAUGCCAAGAAGUUUAAAUGCAUGUAUUUUCCAUUUUGAUGUGGUCAUGCCCGUAGUUGUGGGAAUACAACAAAAUCUAUUCAGAGCAGAAGCUGUGGAGCAAGAUAAACAGCAUGAGAACCAAGGACACCUUUAGAAGAAGAGAAAAAGCAAAAGAAAUGACUCAUGGCUCUGAUUGGAUAAGCACCCGCAUGCACGGAUAAGGAGUGUUUGUAGAAUACUCUGUUGUCAAGUAAAGGUGGAUGGGAAAGUUGUAAGGGCAGAUGGGAAAGCUAAAAAAAAAAAAAAAAAAAAAAAAAGGAAACUUGUGAAUGUAUAUAAGUAAUGUGAGAACUUGUAAUAAAUGAUUUGGAUCGUUCACAUUUGAGUCCAUGCAUCAGAUGCUGCACAUAGUAACUGCACUGUAUCUUCGUCAAAUAUGUAAAUUAAUUCCUGUAAUUUUCAUAACUAUUAUUGUGCUAUACCUUUAUUCCCAUCUGUAAAAAAGUCAUAAUUUACCUGUCAGUGUAUGGAGAUGACUUCUUCCCAUCUCUAACUUUCCAAAGGACUGUAGUUUUGUUGCCUGUUGGGAAAAGACCUGAAGUUCACUGUAAUUAACUCUUAGAUCCCUUAUGUCGUGUAGCUUUCUUACUUCUUCUGGAAUGGACACUAAUAUGGAAUUAUUGACAGCUAAAGCUUCAGAAAGCAGUGUAAAUGAAUUUUGAAAGAAAAUUGGUGCAUAUGAGAGAAUGUAAGUUAGGUUGAAUGUGUCUGACAUGCACAAAAACAAUCUCUUCUGAGCUUCUUAUCAAGAAGAAAUCUGCUACUUGCUUUACAAAAAAGAAAAGCAAAUGUUCAUUGCAAUUGAAGUAGAACUUGGAAGUGAAGAAUUCAGCUUAUGAGAAAAGUCCUGUUUUUAGGGGGAGACUCUCUCUGAACUAAAUUUAGUUUUCUCAGUCUUUUCAAAUUUUCCAUACAGAUUGAUGGUACAAUGAAGCCUAAGAGGUUUGUUUGUUGGCUUGUUUUUUUAAACAAACAAACUUUGAAAUGCAAUUAUUCCAUAAACAUAUAAAAAUAAAACAUAUACAUAAAAUAAAAAGCAUUGCAGUCCUACUGUUCUAUAGACAAAACAAAGUUUAAGUAAUAUUUUAAUGCAUUAGGACAAAUUAUUAUCCUUAGUGCCUUUAAAGUAUGUGAUAAUAAUUGCUUUCUGAUGAGACCGUAACUGAUGUCAGCUACAUAUCCAAAGUUUAUGCCCAACUGUUCUAUGAUUCCUAUGGCAGAUCCAUUUUACCUUCUUACAGUGGGUGUCUGUCUAACUCUGGAUGGAAACAUGCCUGACGUUCAACAAUUGGAUAAAGUGGAUGAGGUUUUGAAAUUCAUUUAAAGCACUUUGAUUUACAUUGGGCUUGCACACACUUUGGUUGUAAGUCAGGUUUGGAGUGAAAUGUAGGCUCAGGCCUGCACUGUUACAUCCACUGCAGCUGUAAGUUAGCAGCUUUACUCUGUAUACUUUUCCUCCUGGUUAGUUUGUUCUCAUCUUUUUUGUUGUUGUUCAUACUGAUAAACUGGUAAGCUCUUCUGAAAGUGAAUCCCCUGUUAGCUUUGUAGCUCCUGUGCCAGUUUCUUGUUAGCUUUGCUGCUUGUACUUCUGGAACUGAUUUGCAUUCCCUAAGCCAGAGCUGAAUCUCUUUGCUCUGAGUGCUUACUACUGCAUGGAUAUGCAUUUUUAAACAAUUAGCUGAGGAAUCCUACCCAUAGAACUUAACACAGGUUGAAGACAUUUUACAUAAACUGAUGUUUAAAUGGCUUUAAAACCAACUGCAAUUUUUUUUUCUGAUUUAUCUUUUCAUCUGGGAAUAGACAAGACAUAUGUUUAUGACUUUUAAAAUUAAUGCUCAGCUCUAAUUCUAGCAUCAUAUUUUUGAGACUUUAGUGAUGCAUGACUCUCUCCUCCAGAUG
rnacentral:lncRNA from 1 species